UACGGAGGAUGCAAGCGUUAUCUGGAUUUAUUGGGUUUAAAGGGUGCGUAGGCGGGAAAAUAAGUCAGUGGUGAAAUCCUACAGCUUAACUGUAGAAUUGCCGUUGAUACUGUUUUUCUUGAGUAUGGUCAAGGAAGGCGGGAUGUGUAAUGUAGCGGUGAAAUGCUUAGAUAUUACACAGAACACCAAUUGCGAAGGCAGCUUUCUGGCCCAUUACUGACGCUGAGGCACGAAAGCGUGGGGAUCGAACAGGAUUAGAUACCCCGGUAGU
rnacentral:rRNA from 1 species